rnacentral:antisense_RNA from 1 species
GACAAGCCCGUGGAUGUCUACAAAGAGUGAACUGAUCACUGUGGGCUGGCCUUUGAGGCAUCAGCAAGCUCCAGUGCCUGGGACGAUGCCUGACACUUAGCAGACAGUCAGUGAAUAUGUGUUAUAUAAAUGAAUGAAUACUUGGAGCGUGAGAAUCAGAGCGGCAAAAAUAUUUGUCCAUAAUAUGCCUAAAGAUAAAAAUGGAAGCCUCCGAACUAGAUAAAUGCAUUGUAAUUGAAUGCUGAAUUCACCAGAUAACAUCUGAGAUUUAUUAAGCAUCAAGUCAUGUCUUAAAAAUUUUAUAUACAUUUUAGGAUUUAACUCUUAUAAAAAUCCUGUGGGCGUUGUGGCUCUGGAGACCUGGAAGCACCACUAACUGUUCUCCUGAUUUUCUGAUGCUCAGCCACAUCAACCUGUCAUGCUAGUUGUGAGGAGAAGUCAAGGACAGUGACACAGCCAGCCAGUCUGAGGGGUUUUCCAUCAUCCUGAAGGAGUUGCCCUAUCCUGCUUUUCACUGGAGGGGGCAUGGAUGGGGACCCUGGAUGACAAAGCAGUCACCUACUUGAACACUACUAAUUAUGAUGUCAGAAAGAGGAAAGUUUGCAGAGUUUUGUAUUGGCAAUCAAACAUUCAGCCACAGGUCACAGUCUAGAACCAGACACAUCAGUGUCCUGAACUGCAAAGUAGCCAGGAAGCAGCAUCCCAUAACACAGUCCUAUGUCCACUGCUUUGGAGAAGUACCAAUGUGAUUGAAGCAAGGGAAAUUGCUAUGGGAUAUCUGGCCAACUGGAUAUUCUGCUGGAAGAGCAGAAU